rfam:Myotis davidii contig18298, whole genome shotgun sequence.
AGAGGCCCUCUGUGGCCAGGGUGAGAUGCUUGCCUCGUUGCCAUGGCGACAAAGCAAGCAUUCCGCCAGGCCUCUAACGCUGCCCGC